CUGAUGGAUCUUUCAAUUGUACAUGUAAAAAAGGCUACUCAGGAAACGGAAAAAACUGCCGAGAUAUCGAUGAAUGCAUUGAAAAAUCUCAUAAUUGUCAUCAUAAUGCCUACUGCAAUAAUACCGAUGGUUCUUUCAAUUGUUCAUGCAAAAGCGGCUACUUGGGAAAUGGAACUGACUGUGAAGAUAUCGAUGAAUGUGGUGUGAGUCCUCAUAAUU